CUAAUAAGUUUAAUGCAGGGCUGCAAACCGGUUUUGAACCGAACCGGUUUUUGAACCGAACCGUCGUAUUUUUUCCGUUAAAAGCUGUACCACGAACCGAACCAUUUUUAUUUUGAAAACACUGAACCGAACCGAAAACCACUAAAACCUAAUGGUUCGGUUCGGUUCAAAUAAAGAAUUUUUCAGUCAAUUUUUACUCUAAAUAUUUGUAAAAAGUGCAACUCUGCGCCUUGCAUAUUUCAAGCAUUUUUAUAUUUAUAUGGCAAUAUUGUUGUAGUACUGACUUUUGUCAUCUGUAAAAUGCGCACAUCACUUAUUGCAUUUACAUACUCGCAACAUUUACGUAUUUGCUUUUCAAUUUUAAUAUGGUUAUUUAUUCAAAAUGAGCAAAAAUAAAGUGCAUGAAGAAUUCAUUUACAAUGCAAAAGAAAAUAAAAGUGUGUGCAAACAUUGCAACAUGCAAAUGGCUGGAAAACAUACGGAAAAUUUAUUAAGACAUGUGAAAAGGAAGCAUAGUGAUGUUGUGGAACUGUUGCCGAAAAAGAAAAAGAGUGAACACGUUAAUAACGACAACGGCAUUUUAAAAUACGUUGUAGCCAAGACGCCGAAGGCACAACUUUCUUUAACAAAGGAAUAAUUGUUGGAAGCUUGUUUGGAGCUGGUCACAAAGAAUGGCAGACCACUGAAAAUAUUAGAAGACAGUGGUUUUCGCAAAAUUAUUGAUCCGAUUUGCAAGACAGUAAAAGAAGAAAUUAUCCAAAGAGCCUUUGCGCUGCGUUCUCAAAUAACAAACAGAUUAACUAAUCGGUUACUUUCUAUUAAAGUUGAUUGCGUAAGUAUGUAGAUUAGAUCGAUCUAUAAUAGGUAUCAACGCACAAUAUAUUGAAAAUGGAGAAAUACAAAUUGAAACUUUGGCAAAGGAAAUAUUUGUGAAACAUACCGCACUGAAUCUCUUCAAUACAAUCACGGAUGUUCUUCAAUCAUUUCAAAUAAAUAUAGAACGGGUUUAUUCAAUAACAAUCGAUAAUGCCGCCAACAUGGUUUGCGUUGGUAAAUUAUUUAAUAAUAACUCAAAAGUGCCAAGUGAUGAAAAUAGCAACGAAGUUGCUAUCGAAGAUUCAGAUAAUGAUUUACUUGGAAAUGAAGGUGAAGAGGAUGAAAAAGAUAUUGACUGUGUAAACGAUGACCAAGAUAUGAUCGAAAAUGUCGAUCCAAAUGAACAAAUGUGUGAAGAACUCGAGAAUGAUUUUAUGAAAUCUUCCUCCGUUAGUUUAAUUCGAUGUGCCGCACACACUUUGAACCUGGCAGUAUCUGAUUUUUUAAAGGAUAUUAAGGAUGUGCGAAGCAAGGCCAAGGUAGUAGUCAAAAAAUUAAGAACACCUACAUUGCUGAAUUUGCUGCGAACAAAAAAAUUACGUAAGCCUAUGCUAGAAUGCGUCACUCGGUGGGGAUCUACUUACAAUAUGUUAAAGAGUUUAUUGGAGGUUAAAGAUUUUUGUUGCGAGAGCUCUAAAGAUAUUAAAGAGCUAUAUAUGACCGAUGAUGAUUGGCAGCAAAUUGAAAGCGCAUGCGACAUUCUUUUUCCAGCUUAUAAUAUUUCUCUCAAACUUCAAAACAAACAACUUGAAUUAGGUGACAUGUUUUUUGCAUGGUAUUCAUGCAAGCUAAAAGUGGAGCAGAAGACUGGGUGGAUGAGCAAGAAUUUCGCUGCAGCAUUGAAAAAGCGGGGUGAAUUAUUGUUAAAUAAUUCUUGCGUUUUAGCGGCUGUUUAUUUAGACCCCAGAUAUCAGCUUUUGCUUGGCGAUUCCGAAAAAGAAUUGGCAAAAAUAUUUAUAUAGCAAGUUUUCACAUUGAGGGAAAAUAUAAUUUGCCAGAAAAAUGUGGACCAAUCUCCCCAAUCGAAAAUAAGUUCCGAUGAUGAAUUUGAUGCUGUGCUCGAGCAGUUAUAGAGCCCAUACACGAGCACACAAGUGCGUUCGAUCGGUAUGAAUUCGUUUGCCCAUACACGACACACAUAUCCAUUUUGCGUUCGUUCUUCACAGAGUUAACAUGUGCGCAGGCAAGCGGAACAUUUCUUGGAAUUUAUUUCUAAUGUAGCAUUUUUAUCUAUUUCAUUGUAUUUCGUUAAUAAGUUAUUCCAACUUUUAUUUUUCUUACACUAUGUAUAUAUGUAUAUGAGCGCUUAGGCAAAAAAAGCCAAAACUUUGAAGCGUGAUUUCUCGGUUUUUCAUUUUAACGAUUAUUCUUAAUUGGCGGGCAGGAUAGAAAAAAACUAAACGUCGUAUGGAAUUAGGGCAUAGUUUAUUAUCAUUGGCAUAAAAUUAUCUUAUAUUUAAACUAAAAAAAUAUUAAGAAAAGUCAAGUUUUAACAUAUUUUUAAGCAGCAUAAAGUAAAAUUCUUUUGAUCAAAAGCCACUAUUUAUUCAAUUUUUAAUAAAAUUUUAAAUUUUACACUUUUUUUAAUUUUCUUAGUUUAACUAGAAGAUAAAUUAAUAAAAAAUAUGAAUCUCUUUGAAUUUUUUGUUUCCGAUAGAAAUUGCGACCUGCAUCCUGCCCGCCGUCCGAAAAAUGUACAUGCGAGAUGCAUCCGGUAAUUGCUUCCCAAAGGCAGAAUAUCAAAGAUUUCGUAUGCAAAAAAUUUGUGAAAGAUGUUUAAAUAUAGAACUAUAAAGCCUAGAAAUAUCGCUUGAAUCAAUUAUUUCUUUCCCUCCCAAAAAAAUCCUCAAAAAAAUCGAUUUUUUGAAGCCUUGAAAGCAGGCUCUCCCCUUAACACUUGCCAUUGUCCGCGAUCUUCACUGUUCGGCGACACGAGAGAAAUGAGAUUUUGUGCGCCGACAACGCCAUACACGAUAAACAUGUUCGCGCACCGAUCGUAAAAAAUCAAACAUUUUCGCGAACAUGGAUCGGUACGCGAACAAGCCCAUACACGAUAAACCGCAAGCGCACACAUACCGAUCGAACGCACUUGUGUGCUCGUGUAUGGGCGCUUUUAGACAAGCGAGCAUUGUCACCAGGCAAAAAAAUCAAGGGCAUUAUAAAUAGCUUUGCAAACAUUAAACGCCUUUCUAAAACAUCUAAUGUGUUAAAAUUUUGGGAAAAUCAUUCUGAAAUUGAAUUAAAGGCUAUAGCCAAUAUUGUCCUUGCUGCUCCUGCAACACAGGUAUCAGUGGAAAGAACUUAAAUUUAUAUUAUCCGACUUGAGAGCAAGUAUUGAUACAGAUUUAUUGGAAGACAUUCUAUUAUUAAAUUUAAACACAUAAAAAACAAUUACAUAUACUAAAAAUAUCUGAUGUAAGCAUUGAAUUUUAUUAUAUUUAUAUAUUUUCUUAUUAUACAUAAGUACCUACUAUAAGACAACAAAAGAAAAAUGUAAAAAGAGAAUUAAAAUAUUACAAAUAAUUGAUGCAAAAAUUGAAUUUCAUUGCCUACUAAAGGACAACAAUAAAAAAAUUAUAUAUAAAAAAUUAA